CGUAGGUAAUCUACCUUCGGAUGGGGAAUAACAACCGGAAACGGUUGCUAAUACCGCAUAAUGCAGCGGCACCUAAUGGUGACAGUUGUUAAAGCGGGGGCUUUUCGGACCUCGCGCCUGAAGAGGAGCCUGCGGCAGAUUAGCUAGUUGGUAGGGUAACGGCUUACCAAGGCAACGAUCUGUAGCCGGCCUGAGAGGGCGGUCGGCCACACUGACACUGACAUACGGGUCAGACUCCUACGGGAGGCAGCAGUCGGGAAUUUUGGGCAAUGGGCGAAAGCCUGACCCAGCAACGCCGCGUGAAGGAUGAAAUCCCUCGGGAUGUAAACUUCGCAAGAAUGGGAAGAAUGAACGAGCGCUAAUACCGUUCGUGAUGACGGUACCAUUUGUAAGCUCCGGCUAACUCCGUGCCAGCAGCCGCGGUAAUACGGGGGGAGCAAGCGUUGUUCGGAUUUACUGGGCGUAAAGGGCGCGUAGGCGGCCAGCGCAAGUCAGUUGUGAAAUCUCCGGGCUUAACUCGGAAAGGUCAACUGAUACUGCGCGGCUAGAGUGCGGAAAGGGGCAACUGGAAUUCUCGGUGUAGCGGUGAAAUGCGUAGAUAUCGAGAGGAACACCUGCGGC
rnacentral:rRNA from 1 species